rnacentral:lncRNA from 1 species
AACGUAAAUCUAACAAGAAAAAGAGGAAUAAUAAUAUUCAGUGUGCAGUGGCUGAAUAUGACGAAGAAGAAGAAGUAGAAGAAGUAGAAGAAGAAGUGUACUGUACUGUCCCGUCCCUGAUUGUGAAGAAGAGGUAAAAGAGAAAGUACUAUUACGAAUCUGCGGCUUGAAGGUAAAUGCAGCCGUUGCUUCCUGAUUUUGAGAUUACGUGUUUGGGUUUUUAGUACAACUAUCGCUUCAAGCUAAUCUUUGACAUUAUUGUGUCUCUCGACUUGUUGAUAUGUCUGAACUGUGUAUUUAAAAUGAACAACGGUUUUUAUUUAUUUCCUGCUCUGGUGUUCGGACUUCGGCAUAUAAUCAUCUUUUGCAUCGAUGAUUAAAAUCGUGUGAAGCGUAAAUUAAACACAACAACAACAACAACAACAACAACAACAACAACAACAACAACAACAACAACAACAACAACAACAACAACAACAACAACAACAACAACAACAACAACAACAACAACAACAACAACAACAACAUAGUCUUCCGUUUCGAGGCGAAGUUUACUUCAGAAACGCUCUCGACAAGAGAGAAGAACUUGAAUUUUGGUCGUUAAUGGCUUUUAAAAGAUUGUGAGGCGUUUUAAAGAACAUGGCCAAACGACACCGGUGUGAGGCAUCAAGAAGGAUCGAACCGCCAACCAGCGACUCCCGGCACCCUGAGCGUGACGUCCUUAUCGCGGUGAGGAAAGUGAAACGACACGUGGUCGCAGGUGUUUCAAGAAAGAAGCAGGUGUUAGUGCCACCUGAGCUAUAUGGACCACUGGUGGACACCAAUCAAAAGAGUUCCGGUAAGGCUGGAGUCGAUGGUGAAGUCAUCUUGCAUUAUAUUCCGAGCUCAAAGCCUUCAAAGACCCAUUGUAGACAGAAAGUACGUGAUUCUUUUCAUAGCCGGUCUUGUUUGGCAUCUCGCACAUUGCGGGAAGCAUUGUUGAUAGCCUCCAAUAAUUUAUUUGAUAAAACCAGUCCAUCAGCAUUGGAGGAGGUUUCUUCAUGGGAUGCAGAUAAAGAUUCAAAACAGGUGGUGAAUAAGUCCUUGUGUUCAGAAAUCCAGGUUUACUGUAAGGUGCAAUGUAGAAGUGAGAAUGAGCUUGACACUGGCAGCAUUUAUAAAAAGUCUUGAUUGAACACUGAAAAACAGAAAGCAGCAUUUCACCUGAAUGAUUCCUAUCACAACCAUACAAGGAAAUCUGUGUUUUAAAAAAAAUAAUAUUUAAGGUUGAAGAGUGGAUACAUUUGUAGUGAUGUCUGCUUGUACCAAGUUGGACAAUGAAGCUGCAUCUUCACAGUUUUCUCUUCCUCCUAGUUCACAAUCAUUACUACCUGGAGCAUCAGUUCUUGGAAUGGCACCAGGUCGUUCAAGGUCGGAACACCACAAAAGAGGCAAAAUGGCCAAUUUAUUGAUUCAUGACAAAAUCUUGAACAUUUUAAGGAUGGCAAUGAUAUUGAACAAUAUAGUGUUAACAGAACACUGAGGAAGAAAAGAAAUAGGAAUAUGAAGAAGGAAAAUAAUAAAGAACAGUUAGCUGCAUAUAGUAAGAAAGGGAGUUGGAUAAAGUCUGAUGCCAGUUCAGUUCAGCCAUACGGUCAGUAUAGUGAUGGAGACUGCUUUGUAUAAACAACAGAAAGCGACAGGAAAAGGUGGUAUGGGCUACUUUAUAUAUGUAUUUAAUGGAGGUGUUUGCAGAGUUGGAAAUCACAUGAAGCAUGAGGGAGAUAUUGAAAAGGUAGAGAAUUGUGAGAUCAGCACGGAAGUUAACAAUUCAUUUGAGGAUGUUCUAUUAAACCAAGGUUCGUUGUUGUUUUACACUCUUGAGUUUUUUUCUUUGAAAAGGUCAACGUCAUCAUCAAAUCACUCUUGAAAAGGUGAAUAACAUCAUUAUGGCAGACAGAUGCGUAACUGAGAAAGCUGUCACUCCAACUGAACAUUGGUGAAGCAUAUGCAGAAUAGUGAACCAGUUGGGCUAUGUUAAGGUAUGCGCUGAUGUCCACCUUUUCAACAUUGACAUCCGUCUGUAUUGCUCGUGGCCUGCCACUGUGAGGGCAGUCACGCAUAUCGACAUGUUCAACUCUUGCAGAUGUUAUCUGCUUGGCCUGUCGACAGCAUCGUCCCCACAUAGCUUCUUUUCAUCACUUAUGGAUGUUUCUAACAGUCUCUUUCAAACACCAAUGAUUCAGUAACAGCACAUUGCUUCUGAUGAAAAUCCAUGGGGUCAGCCAUGUUUGACGACUGUUACAGCAAUGGCACAUGUGGGAAGACAAUGCAAUUAUCAUAUUAUGAGGCAGGAAGGAUGUACAUGCACUGUACAAGUAACAAUGCUGUAUAAUAAAUUUAGUGUUGCAGAAAAAUUGGGGAGCAUGACUUUUGGAGGUGUGUGUGUGUGUGUGUGUGUGUGUGUGUGUGUGUGUGUGUGUGUGUGUGUUAGAUGCAGAAAAGAAUACUCUCCAGGAGGGUGUAAAAGGGGUUCAUUUACAAGGUGGAGCUGUUGGCAUAAACUGCAAUCUCUCCGUUGGAGAGGGUGAAGUGGAAGCAGAAGUGAGAGAGUAAAGGGGGGUGGGUGGGUAGGAAGAGUUUUGGGUCUCUGUGUAGGGGUUAACUGCCAUGCAUCUCUACUCUGCAAAUUUGAGUUCAGUUUUAGAAUCAUAAGCUCAGCAAUAUGCAGGCACACAUCAUUGACAGGGUGAAGGAAGGGGUGGUUAACAUUGAAGAAACACAUCACUGUAAGAAUACAACUGAAUGAGCAAUGCUCAGUGGAAGAAAAAGGGGAAUGAGGGAAAAGAAGACCAUUGCAAAAGUAAAGAGUGGGGAAGUAACUUUUUUAAUUGACCUUAUCCAAUGUGGAUGAAGGAAGGGGGAUGGGUAUUGGUUCAUGAGUCAGUAAGUGACCUGUGCGUGUGUGCGUGCGUGCGUGUGUCCCGAGCAUAGCUCCGUGGGUUUUGAUCCGAUCCUAAUAAAAUUUGGGUGGGAGGUUUAUAUCAUGAUCUAGUUGUGUUUUCCUGAGAAUGGGCAUGCUGCGCCCAUUAUGGGUGGACCUAUGCCCAAAAAACAUGUUUUUAGGGGGUAGCCGAUUUCAAGUUAAAUCUUCUCCGAGGGGGUUUGUCGAAUCUGGCAGGAGUUUCGGAAUUUGGUUAGCCCAAUGGCACCUGCAUAGCCCCACGGAGCUCGAUUUUUCAUUUUCAUCACAAGGUCACGAACUUAGAAAAUGGCAAAAAAAUCAAUCAAGUGGGCAUCGAGCUCCUUGGGUUUUCAACUGUUUCGAAUGAAAGUUGGGAUGCAAGUAGUGCUCUUCGAGAACUACAACUUUCAUCAUUUACGUUUUUCCCGAUUUCCGCCAGUUUGCCCGUGGCAUCCCCUUCAAAGUUUGUUUUUACGCUGAUUUCAUCAAAGUAUGGAUAAUCCAAGGAAUGCGAAAUGCCAUGUUGCCUAUAUGACAUUAUAUUGUUCCUGGAAUGUUCCAGAGGAAGUUUUGCACCAAAGGUCAUAAUCCUUGACCUUUGACCUUUAAAGGCCACAAAGGUCAAAUUUUCAAAGUUGUGGGAACCAAACCGGGUUUUCAACCUUCUUCGACGA